GGGGGAUUAGCUCAGCUGGGAGAGCAUCGCCCUUGCACGGCGAAGGUCGUCGGUUCGAGCCCGUCAUCCUCCACCA
rnacentral:tRNA from 1 species